rnacentral:rRNA from 1 species
UACGAAGGGGGCUAGCGUUGCUCGGAAUUACUGGGCGUAAAGGGCGCGUAGGCGGAUAGUUUAGUCAGAGGUGAAAGCCCAGGGCUCAACCUUGGAAUUGCCUUUGAUACUGGCUGUCUUGAGUAUGGGAGAGGUGAGUGGAACUCCGAGUGUAGAGGUGAAAUUCGUAGAUAUUCGGAAGAACACCAGUGGCGAAGGCGACUUACUGGACACAUAUUGACGCUGAGGUGCGAAAGCGUGGGGAGCAAACAGG